GGAUAUGUCAAAAAUUUAUUAGAAGGGAGAGAUGCCGUGAAGCAGGGUAUUAGACGGAAUAUGAGAGGCUGUCUUGCUUGAAUAUCUGGAAUGAGCCUUGGGCGCCAUCUCUUCCUAACUUUAAGAUUGGCAGCCCUCGUCCCCCAGAUUCCCCUAUUCUGCAUAUAGCAGAUUUACUGAAGCCUGGAGUGCACCAAUGAGAUAGAGAAAUAUAUAUUUAUGAGAUAGAGAAAGGUCCCUAAUAUAUAUUUAUUUAUUCGUUGGGGAAAGAAAGAAAUUAACCACCAAUCAAAACUUUCACUUCUUCUUCGCGUUGCCCAAAGAAGAACAACCUCGCAUCCAUCUCCGUCCAGCAACUUCGGCCAGCAACCAGCUUUGACGUGGAUGGUAGCAUCACAGAUCGGCGACAUCUAGGGGCUCCUCAACGGCAGUGGACAGUGGUUGCAGAUGUGAGAAAGCAAGAGAGUGAAAGAGAGAGAGUGAGUGAAAGGCGUCAAAUUUGAGCCUCUUUGGCCGGCGAUCCUGGCAGUGGUUCUGAUUAAGGAGGAUGGCUUUCAACUCCUGGCAGCUCAAGCAUCCUGUCGGGACCUCUCUCACCGGUUCUAAUGGUGGUUUCCGGCAACAGCAAGAAGAGAGAGAAAUGGGUUUGGCAGUAGGUUUCCAGUCACUUUUCCAGCGAUCCUCCCUUCGGAUCGGAAAUCCGAGACCACCGAUGGACUCAGGGUGAUGAAAUCUUUGAAAUAGAAUCUGUACCACUCCGAUUGGAUACCGUUUGAAAAAGGCGAUCAUCGGAUGGUCCAAAUCACUUGGUGAGAAUUUUGAGUUUUUUCAAUUUCCAAAAAUCAAAAAUAAAUUUAUGAUAAUUAUUAAUAAUUUUUUGGUGUAAUUUAGGUACGAUCGGAUCGAUGGUAGUUCAUUAGCGUCGGAGCUACAUUUUCGAUCAGAUCUGGCUGUCUGACGGCCUGUCUCAAAACAUGAUCGAUAUUAUAGUCAAUCCUAGUAUUUUCAGACGUUCUGGACAUGAUGUAGGUGUUAGAUUUUGCAUAGGUAAGCUCAAA
rnacentral:misc_RNA from 1 species